rnacentral:rRNA from 1 species
GACGAACGCUGGCGGCGUGCUUAACACAUGCAAGUCGAACGGAAAGGCCCUGCUUUUGUGGGGUGCUCGAGUGGCGAACGGGUGAGUAACACGUGAGUAACCUGCCCUUGACUUUGGGAUAACUUCAGGAAACUGGGGCUAAUACCGGAUAGGAGCUCCUGCUGCAUGGUGGGGGUUGGAAAGUUUCGGCGGUUGGGGAUGGACUCGCGGCUUAUCAGCUUGUUGGUGGGGUAGUGGCUUACCAAGGCUUUGACGGGUAGCCGGCCUGAGAGGGUGACCGGCCACAUUGGGACUGAGAUACGGCCCAGACUCCUACGGGAGGCAGCAGUGGGGAAUAUUGCACAAUGGGCGGAAGCCUGAUGCAGCAACGCCGCGUGCGGGAUGACGGCCUUCGGGUUGUAAACCGCUUUCGCCUGUGACGAAGCGUGAGUGACGGUAAUGGGUAAAGAAGCACCGGCUAACUACGUGCCAGCAGCCGCGGUGAUACGUAGGGUGCGAGCGUUGUCCGGAUUUAUUGGGCGUAAAGGGCUCGUAGGUGGUUGAUCGCGUCGGAAGUGUAAUCUUGGGGCUUAACCCUGAGCGUGCUUUCGAUACGGGUUGACUUGAGGAAGGUAGGGGAGAAUGGAAUUCCUGGUGGAGCGGUGGAAUGCGCAGAUAUCAGGAGGAACACCAGUGGCGAAGGCGGUUCUCUGGGCCUUUCCUGACGCUGAGGAGCGAAAGCGUGGGGAGCGAACAGGCUUAGAUACCCUGGUAGUCCACGCUGUAAACGGUGGGUACUAGGUGUGGGGUCCAUUCCACGGGUUCCGUGCCGUAGCUAACGCUUUAAGUACCCCGCCUGGGGAGUACGGCCGCAAGUCUAAAACUCAAAGGAAUUGACGGGGCCCCGCACAAGCGGCGGAGCAUGCGGAUUAAUUCGAUGCAACGCGUAGAACCUUACCUGGGUUUGACAUGGAUCGGGAGUGCUCAGAGAUGGGUGUGCCUCUUUUGGGGUCGGUUCACAGGUGGUGCAUGGCUGUCGUCAGCUCGUGUCGUGAGAUGUUGGGUUAAGUCCCGCAACGAGCGCAACCCUUGUUCACUGUUGCCAGCACGUUAUGGUGGGGACUCAGUGGAGACCGCCGGGGUCAACUCGGAGGAAGGUGGGGAUGACGUCAAGUCAUCAUGCCCCUUAUGUCCAGGGCUUCACGCAUGCUACAAUGGCUGGUACAGAGAGUGGCGAGCCUGUGAGGGUGAGCGAAUCUCGGAAAGCCGGUCUCAGUUCGGAUUGGGGUCUGCAACUCGACCUCAUGAAGUCGGAGUCGCUAGUAAUCGCAGAUCAGCAACGCUGCGGUGAAUACGUUCCCGGG